rnacentral:rRNA from 1 species
CUACGGGCUGCACCAGUGGGGAAUAUUGCACAAUGGGCGCAAGCCUGAUGCAGCCAUGCCGCGUGUAUGAAGAAGGCCUUCGGGUUGUAAAGUACUUUCAGCGGGGAGGAAGGGAGUAAAGCUAAUACCUUUGCUCAUUGACGUUACCCGCAGAAGAAGCACCGGCUAACUCCGUGCCAGCAGCCGCGGUAAUACGGAGGGUGCAAGCGUUAAUCGGAAUUACUGGGCGUAAAGCGCACGCAGGCGGUUUGUUAAGUCAGAUGGUAAAUCCCCGGGCUCAACCUGGGAACUGCAUCUGAUACUGGCAAGCUUGAGUCUCGUAGAGGGGGGUAGAAUUCCAGGUGUAGCGGUGAAAUGCAUAGAGAUCUGGAGGAAUACCGGUGGCGAAGGCGGCCCCCUGGACGAAGACUGACGCUCAGGUGCGAAAGCGUGGGGAGCAAACAGGAUUAGAUACCCGCGUAGUC